CAGAUCUCGUGAGACUUAUUCACUAUCAGGAGAACAGCAAGCUAAAUCAGUGUGAGACCAAGGACCCUGGGGCUCCUCCAGUCAUUGCAGCUGUAUCACAACUACCCUGACAGGUGAGUUGUACUACCCUCAUUUUACAGAAGAUGAAACUAAGGUUCAGGAUGGUUAACCAACAAAGGUCACAUGCUAAUAAAUAUUAAAGCUUAGACUUCAGGCCUGACUUCAUUGAUUGGGCAUUUUAUCAACUGUAUAUAUUUAGAGUUCUAAGUCCAUUGUUGAAAACUUGAGAUUAAUUCCAGAAAGAUUUGGAGAUACAUGACAUGAAAGGAAGGAGGUCAUAGUUUUUAGGUCAAAUGAUGUAACAAAGUCAACAUGUCACACAAUUUUCAUUCACCUCAUGCUGACCUUUUUAAAUGAAAUGACAUGGGUAAUCAGGGUCACCCUUCCUGGAACUAGGUAGAAAGAAGUGAUGUUUCCUUUAGCUAUUUAAGGAUCAGCCUCCUACAUUCAUGGGGAGCUUAUUAUACAGGGCAAUGUGACAGGCAAUGGGGAUAUAAAAUAAAUGAUUUCAUACCAGAAGGUGUUUUGAGUCUUAAGGAAGGAGUAAAUAUGCAAAUGAGUAAAUUCCAUCAAGUUUAAGGCACCAUUAACUUAUCUCUUACUUUCCUUUCCAAGGGAAAAAAGAUGUCAAACUAUAUCAUGCCUUCAGUUGUAGGAUUUGAAUAUUCCUUUUAGAAUCAAUUACGUAGAGUAUAUGCCAUGCCAGAUGUCAAUGCAUUUAUAGUGAUGAUGUUACAGCUGGGAUGAAGACGGGCCCAGAAGAGAGUCAGAAAAAUCUUUCUAGGCCAAGUGACCUUUGAAUGUGGAAAGAGGCUUUACAAAUAGCUACUUUUAUAUCAAACUACAUGCAACUAGUUUUCUGUGCUGGACUUCCAUAGUUGUGAAGCCAUGAUUACCAGAAUUUCUGAUUCAAAGAUUCUUGAUUUCUUGCUCAGGGCAAGCCACCUGCCAUGUCUUGAGAACACUCAAGCAGCACAUGGCGAGGAAUGGAGAUGGACAGACAUGGGCCAGCAAGAAACAGGCUUGCCAACAACAGCUUGCGUGAUCCUGAAAGUGGGUCCUCUAGCCCCAUGUGACUGUUGCCCUGGCCAACAACUUAACUGCAACCUCAAGAGAUACCUACCCUGAGUCAGAACCACCCAGUCAAACUACCCCUGGCAUCUUAACUCAGAGUAACUGUGAGAUAAUUACUGUGAGAUAAUUAUGAUGAUUUUAAGCUUCUCAGUUUGGGGGUAAUUUGUUAUGCAGCAACAGAUAACAAAACACUUAGCAAAUGUUAUUCCAAUGUUAUUUGAUUGAGGGCCAUAGGGAUACAGGAGAAAAGAAAGGUGAACACUCGGGUUUAGAAAACAAAAGAAAUUACAAUCAAUCAAAUUAUUUUUCUAAUAAAAAGUGGGUACUUUGCAAUUUUGCCUUAGCUUCAUUUUAAGGUAGAUCUAUGUCAGAGUUCAAAUUCAGUGUUCAAUGACUUACUGCCUGACUGUACAAUGAUCUGUCUAGUCUCCUAAAGGAAGCCAGAAGAAAAGAAGAGUGAUCUGGUAAAAAGAGGGCUGAGAUCCUCCAAGAACUGAGUUUGUGUUCCAGCUCUGUCACUAUUUGAUUAUCAACGGGCAAUUUAUGUAAUCUGUUUUAAAUCAUGGUUUCCAUACCAGUAAAAGGGAUAUAAUAAUUUAGAUCCUGCAUAUCUUGAGACUAGAUGAGUCAGUGUGUGUGGUGCUUUAUAAUACUGAUGUGUUUUUGACUUAACAGGCCCCGUUGACUGGAGGAUGGCCAUUUGACAACACAUUAUUUCCUGAGGAAACUUUUGACUUCUGGUGACUUGGGCCCCAGGCAAGCUGGCUGAAUUUGCCAAGACCCGGCUUUGCCCUUGCAUGUGUGAAAAAUGGCCUCAAGUAUGACCCCAUGGCAAGAUGGAAAGAAACUGUGCUCUUGAAUAGCUUAGAGAUUCAGAGCCCCCCAACCAGCUUGAAACGCCCACCUCAAAACAAUGACAUGAGAAGAAACAAACCUCUAAUUUAAGCCACUGUCUUUUUAAGAGCAUUGUAGUUUGAGAUCUCUUUCUUUCAGCUGUUUAGUCCCCAGCUAAACACUUACUGACCUUAUCUUACAGGUCAAGAAAAAUGAAGUUCUGGGGUACAAGUCACUAAUGUAUUAGAAAUUUUCCAGCUCUCCCUCCUUGCCCAGCAGAGUAUAUUUCCACUCAAACACAAUGAACCCAUUUGGAAUGGGACAAAACAAAAUGGGGUGGGCCUGGAACAAGAGAAAGUUCAGCUACACAGGAUCCAGGUCAAAACUCUUUAAUCCUCCCAUUUCUGGAUUUCAAAUGAACACCUUUUUGUCUAGCAGUUCUCCUCCAGAGGUUUGCUUUCCCACAACAGCUUGUCAACAGUGUAAGAAGUUCAAAAAGAACUUUUGGGGUUGCACGUUGCAGGUUGUGUGGCAUCAUCCCAGCUUGUCUCAACACCUCUGAUGAACAGUAGCGGAAGAAAGGACUCUUUCCACAUGAGUUCCUCGGCGGUCCCCGUCUCUUAGGGAGUUUAUAAAAAAAUCCAUCAUCUUGUUCUACUAAACCCAAGUAAAUAUAAUUAACACCAAAUGUGUGUUCUGCUCAUCAAAUUGUACAGCCAUAAAGAGAUAAUCUUUGUAAAAUAAAUGACUAGGCUUCCUUGAUAAGUCAAUAAGGCAAAAACCUUGGGAGUAAAUUAAGACAAAUGGGAAACCAGCUGGAAGAAAUCAAACAGGCAAAGCAGGUGGGGUGGCUUGUGUUUGGGAAGAUAAAACACAGCAUGAAGCAUUUGCACAUUUACACAAAAGCAAGAUCUAUAACCUUAUGCUUUGAACUGAGCUAAAUGCAUGACUUAUUUAAGAAGAGCUGGUAGCUGGGAACUGGUUGAACUAAGAGUGUCAAGACCAAUUCUGAUGAUGUUUUCUUGUACUUUGCCUGUUUUUACAUGCUCUGAAGAUUGCCAAACAACCAGCAGCAGAUGGUCCUGUAUCUAAGUGCAAUGCUAAGUGGUGUGAGGGAUGGCAUGAUUGACCAUUUACUCAGAGGAGCAUAAAAGAAGGAAUUCUUGUUAAAAAUGCCUCUGUUGUAUCAAGUGGCUGUAAAACAGGCAAGAGAAUCUGGGAACUCUUAUAUCCAAGAGCAAGAUGGAUACACUUGGAUUGAAAAAUGCAGCCAAGACCCACAAAUGCCAAGUCCUUGCCACAGAACAAGCUGUCCAGCUGGAAGAAACUAGAGGAAUCCCCAAACCAUUUGUCCUCUGACUCAAGAACACCAGAAUUAUACCAAGACAAAACUGUGCAGCUAUCACUGUUCUGCACAGGUGUACCGCCUUGUGAAGUGAUCCGGGAGACUUCUGUGUUACCAAACCCUCCUCACAUACACUCACUCCCACUAAAACAUCUCCUUCUAUACAAAUUAGAAACUGAGGCUCCCAGAAAACAACUUGAAAGGAAUGUAGAGAAACUUAUGAUUGUCAGAUUUAGCAAAUAAAAAUACAAGGAUGCCCAGUUGAACUUGAAUUUCAUACAAACUACAAGUAAUUUUUAAUAUAAGUAUGUCCCAAGUCUUAAAAGAGGACUACAAAUAAUUUGUUAGUGUGAGUGUGCCCGUAAGUAUUUGGGACAUACUCACACUAACAAAUUAUUUGUCAUUUAUCUGAGAUUCAAACUUAACUGGGCAUUCUAUACUUAACUUGGCAAUUUGAGGAAGGGUGAAAAAAGAGAAUACAUUAUUACAUUGCAUCAUGGAGAUACAGACCUUAAAAAUAAAAAUGUUGUAGGCUGAGGCCAAGACACAGAAGCCUUUGCAGCAGUGCUAAUUGGGCAUUAUAAGUUUAUAUUUAUUAACUCUUUUCAGAAAUCAUAAUCUUGAAGGAAAAUAUCCCAAAUCAUCUCAAUACAGACAAUAUCCGUACAAGGAUACUACUUGACAUAUUCAAUCAAAACAAUAUGAAUUCUUACAAACUAAGAAUUGGACUAGAAUUUAGAAUGUAUGCUCAUUGGCCUUUUAGCUAUUUAUAGCUGGAGUCCCACAGAUACCAAAUGUCAUGAAUGGAAAUCCACAUGCCCAUCAUUGACAAUCUAAACAGAACUUGUUUGAUUAAGAAUAAAGGAGGAGGAAAACAACAAAGGAAACUAUAUUUCAGAAUAUGGGAACGUGAUUACUAUCCCAAGAAUAUAAAAAAGUAUUUUUAUACUAUCUGACAUAACCAAAAGAAUAUGAAUUACAUGAAACAAGAGCCAGAAGGUACAAGGAUGAAUUAAGAAGCUUGUUAGGCGAGUUAAAGACAUUUCAAGAAAUUGAAAAUAUAGGAGUAUUAGAGUCUUUAUUGAAAUCAGUGAAGGAAUUGACAAUGUCUAUCAUCGAAUUAGAGUUUAAAUAUCAGAUGCUGUCUCAGAACUCAUAAGAAAAAUCAAUGAUAAAGAGAUGAUAGCUCUAAAAUGGUAAAAAAAAAAAAAAAAAAAUAAAGUACACGAGUUAAUUUAAAAAGGAAAAAAAGGUUUGCAUAAGAUUUGCCUUCUGCAACAAUAAAUUCCAGAAGAGAGUAGAAAAUAUCUAUAACAUUUGAGUAAAUAUUGCUCCUCCAAAGUACAUAUUUACUCGGUUUUCCUUGUGUAAAGAAGUGAAAAAGACAUUCUCACAUAUGAAAGAACCAGAAAACAUAUCACGUGUACAUUUCUUGAAAAUACAUUUCAAUGGGAAGUUUAACCUGUGCUCAAGAAAUUAACCAAAUUAUUAAUUCAAAACUAGGUAAGUUCUGGAGAAAAAGCCCUGACAGUUUUCAUAACAAUCUGAGGAACACCAAGGUCCAUGCUGGCUGAGCAGUGUGGUCUCUAACAGCGGUUUUUAAAUAUGAAUGCACAUGAUAAUUACUGGGGGAGAACAUUUAAAAACAUCGAGAUUAGACCCCCGCUUCAGAUUAAUUAAUCAGAAAUUCAGAAUAGUGGAUGGAAAUGUGGGCAUUGAAAGUUUUAAAAGCUCUGCGGCUGAUUUUAAUGUGUAUCCAGGGUUGAGAACCAUCCUUUAGAUAAAGAACAAGCAUGAAAUCAGGUCUGAGUUUGAACUCCUUCCUAUGAUUUAUGGGACAUGAGGUGAUUGCAGGCAGAUGGCUCAACCCACCUAGACUUUAUCAGUUUUAAAAUCUGAGAUAAUUGUGUCUCUAUCAUAUUAUUAGCAUAAAAUUAGAAAAUAUAUGUCAUUCACCAAAGGUGGGGUUACACAAUUUGUAGCCACAACAAGGCAAUAUUUUCACAGUAUUUUCUGGGAAUGGCAGUAUGCAUAUGGUGUUUUUAUUUUUCCAUCAUAAAUAAGAGUUUUGUAGUUAAGCAGGCGUUUCUCCUGUACACCAUUAAGUUCUAUGUAAUUCUAAAUAUAUUUCAGUUCUGCAGAGAGCAGCAGCUCAUUUGCCAACCUUUAAGGACCUCUAAUAUCUGUCGACUCCCACUUUUAAUCUGAACCAAACACACUGCUCUCCUUGCCAAAUAUUCGUGCAAACCCAAAUGGUCCCACCAUAGCCCUGCUCACUUCUGCCUUGGUGCGGCUGCUCACAUGGGUCACUGGCUCACACCUGCUGUCUUUUCCUCUCAUUGCUCUUUCUUAACUCUAGCUCCAAUUGACCUUCUAUAGUGCCCUCUAAAUUUACUACAGUUCUGCAGUAAAUUUAUAUAUUUACUUAUAUAUUUAUAUAUUUACUACCUUAUAUAUCAUAGUAUUGUAUUAUUUAUUAUCUUGUAUUGAUUUUCCCCAAUCUAAACUUUAGUUUCCUGUGGAUGGUGUAGGAAGAAGAAAGGGUGAUAUGGAAAGAGUAUUUAACAAUGCACAGAAAUGCUCAUCAGUGGUAUUGAAACAAAAGUAGUUCACUAAAUGAAUCUAUAAUAUUGAUUAUGGAAAAUUGCAUUUGGCAAAGACUGAAAAAAAAAUAAACUAAAGGGUUGGCAGUGGUAACCUCUUAGUGGUAAGAUUAUGAGGGACUAUUAUGUUUUCUUCAUAUUUUUCUCUAUUUCCCAUGAGCUACAUUUAUUAGUUCUAUAGUGAGUCAGCAUACGCAAAAUGGCAUAUACAACAAAAUCAAAUUUUUCAGAAAGCAACUGUUAAAAAGAUAUGAGGAAAGGAUACAAUAAUUAUUAACAGUAUUCAUAAAAGAAGAUAUAAGAGUGGCAAAUAAGCACAUGAAAAAUUGCCAAAGAUUAUUUAUCAAGGAAAUGUAAUUUAAGCCACAAUCAACUAUUACUACACAAACCAGAACAUAACUAAAAUUAAAAGGUCUGACAACACCUAAUAAUGACCAGAAUAUGUAUCUAUAUUAAAUGUUCACAGCAAUGCCUAUAACAAAACAUUGGAAAUAACCUGACCCUAGAGAAGUAGUUGGAAAAUUGUUUAACUUCAAAGCAGACUAUUUUACAGCCACCAAACGUUAUGUUUUGAUAGAAUUUUAAAUGAUAGGUUGAAAGCUUACAGUAUUAACAAAGCAUGUCAAUUAUCAAAAACAGUUAAUUCUGGGGGGGUGGUGAGAGAGAGCUAAUUUUUUGCCUACAUAGUUUUCCAAGUGUCAGUAUGCAUUACUUAUAUCAGAGGAAAAAGCAAAUAACAAAUAUUAAUGUGAUGACUUGUUUUUGGAAUACAAGUACAAUUACCUCAGCAAAGGAGUUCAUGUUUCAUGAACCAGUGACACUUAAUGCUGAUUGUUCAAUGACUUGGAUUUCUUAGGUAAUAGCUUUACUUGAUAUAUUGUGUAUUUUUGGUUUAAUUGUUGGUCAGUUUGGUAUUCCAUAUGGUAGUGCUACUCAAAAUGUGUUGUGAACCCUUGGUGGCCCAUAGAGUCAAAACUAUUUUCAUAAUAAUGCUAAAACAUUAUUUGCCUUUUUCAUUGUGUUGACGUUUGCAGUGAUGGUGCCAAAGCAAUAGAGGGUAAGACUGUUGGUGCCUUAGCAUGAAUCAAGAUAGUGGCACCAAACUUGACUAGUUAUCACUGUAUUCUUUGCUAUCACAUACUCACUGUUAAAAUAAAUAAAAAAUUUAAAAAUUAAAA